AUACCAUUUAAAUUCAUAGUAAUAUAAUUUUGAUCUUUGUUUAGCUUCUUAUUUUUCCAUGUGCAUUAUAUCAAAUCUGUUUAAUGAAGAUAGAAUGUGACCUAUACCAAAGAAAUUUGCUAAAUGCUAUGGUAGUACAUAGAAAGGAGAGAUAACUGCUGGCCAUGGGAAUUAAGAAAGGACUCAUGCAACAGACAGUGUUUUAGGUUUGACCUCAAAAAUGACUAGAGUCUGGAUAUAAAAGCAAGGGAUAAGAAAGCAUUCCAGAUAGAGCUUCCUUCACAAACAAAGAUGAAAAGACAGACAAGAAAACAUGAGUGGGAUUGGGGAAAUAAUAAAUAGGCUGAUUUGCGUACAGAGUAAUAAUGGGCGAUAAGGCUAGAAAAGAAGAGGAAGUUUAACAAUAUGUUGAUGCCAUAGAUUCAAGUAAACAGAUCUGAUCUUGAUCCAUUCCUUAAUAACCACUCUCCAUGAUUUUUCAUCCUAAUCAGAAUAAAAUUCAAUCUACUUAACCCAAUCUAAAAGGUGAUCUGAAUUUGUCUAACCUGGUCUUUCUCAUUCUCUGCUCCUCUGACCACUGAGCUACAACUACACUAGUCAUCUUUGCUUCUCAAGCAGCCACACUUGUUCCUGGCCAGAACCUUUGCAUUACCUGUGAUGGUCUUUCCUCUGAUUCUCUUGGUUGGCUAUUUUUGCCACUAGUUGUGGGUUACUUCUUCAUCUCCUGAUCAAUUUGAAACAGCCAUUUAAACAUAGCAUGUAUAAAUAUGCAUUUCGGAGGAAAAAAGGACAAUGGAGUCAGUUUAAUCAGUAAAUAUUUGUCAAGCAUUUGCUAUGUUCCAGAUGUGCAGUAUACACAAAAGACAAAGACAGAUGAAAUGUUGUACUUUUUUUUUUUUUCCUGUCUCUGGUUUUAUUUAUACAAAUAGCCCAGGAGGACACCAGUCUCCUGUAGACAGGGGCCUAGGGGUCACACCAGUCCUUCUGUGCUCGCAUUUCCAGACAGAGGCUUUUUACUACGGAGCUUUCACAAAGAUCUGGGCACCCUUGCGGGUCUGGGCACCUUUGGGAGCAGGAGCAGGAGCUAGAGUUGAUAAUGGAGCUGGAGUUGCAGCCUGGGUCUUGGCUUGGGCUUGGGCUUUGGCCUUUGGCUGGUAGAGCCUAUGACCCCUGGGAUGGGCAAGAAAGGC
rnacentral:lncRNA from 1 species